GCCCGGAUGGCGGAAUUGGUAGACGCGUUGGUCUCAAACACCAAUGAGGUUACACUCGUGCCGGUUCGACUCCGGCUCCGGGUACGA
rnacentral:tRNA from 1 species